GAGUAUAUUUAAAUGAUGUUGAUGGUUUCCUAGAGGUAGUUAAACUUUAGAAUAAAUUUCUCUAAAGCCUUGGAAAUAUUUUUGAUACUCAGAUUUGUCAACUGAGACCUUGCCGGCUACUUUGAGAGUUGUUGGAGAGCAAACUUAGACGAUUCUCCAUAACUGGGGGGUUUAUCCUGUAAUGGUUUAUUUCCAGCAGAAAAGAAUAAACCUCCUCUUUAUGGAAGAGAUAUAUAUAGAUAUAACUGAUGUUGUGAAGUUUGUAGCCAAGCAUGGAAGCAAUGUUCAUCAACUUAUCAUAGAGAAAGGUACUUACAAAUCAAGAACCUUGAUGACAAGAAAGAAGAUUUUCAUCAAUUGAAAGAUGUGUGGACCAUUGUUCUAGUGGCAUUUGAAGAUCAUACCAGAUUUCAAAUGUAGAAUUGGAGUAGAUCCGUGAAGUCUGAAUUUCGUUUAAGACUGAGUUGAGAAUCCAAGAUGCCACAAUGAUGUUGUUUUUGCACCAUGCCAAGAAUUGAGGAUCAUGCUCAGCUGGAGGAGCAAGAGAACCAUUUGCAAAACCAAGUUUGUUCAGUCCAAUGAUCACCAUAAUCAUGGCACAACGCCAAGAACCAUAGCUAUCUCAAGUUAGAAGAUGAGAGACAAGGGCGAGGCCAGAGUGAUCAUAAUUGGCAAUAAAAAACGGAUUUGCAUGAUUGUUGUUGGCGAGUUCAAGGUUGACAUAAGACAUGAUAAAAAGGAACAAAGGAACAAGAUAGAAACAAAAAUUAGAAGGACAAAAAAAAACUUUUGAUACGAUGUUGAAGAUCAAGACGAAGAACAAGAAUUUAUUAAAUAUCUUCUUGCAUUGGAAAAGAAAAAGAAUGAUCUUUCAAUGGGCUACUAUCCUCACUACAACCCUCAAUAUGAUUCAUCAACGGAGAAAUUCUUAGAGAGCAUAGAGAUUUUUUUGUAUGUUCAUGAGGUAUCUAAUUUUAUUUUAUACUUCCAACUUUAUGCUUGUUUUGUUUCAGUGUUGUAUUAACCACUAAAGGAUUCUGAAUUUGAAGCAUUAUUUUAUGAUGCAACAUGUUAAGUAUUGUUGAUUAAUAUAACUCGAGCAAACAUAACACAGACACCAGACACAACACUGACAUGUUGAUACCUAUUCUAAUGUAAGAAAAUAGAAUUGAUAGAAUUUAACUAUGCCAAACACGCCUGCAAUCUGAAGUUACUACUAAAUCUGCAAUUCUGUAACUAGUUCAUGGCAUAAGUUAUGAUACUUAAAAUGAUAUUUUUCUCUUGAAUUGUACCACAAAUGUUUUAAGGAUUUCUUAAAUAUCAA